rnacentral:rRNA from 1 species
UACGGGGGGGGCAAGCGUUGUUCGGAAUUACUGGGCGUAAAGGGCGCGUAGGCGGCCAAUUAAGUCAGACGUGAAAUCCCUAGGCUCAACCUAGGAACUGCGUCUGAUACUGGAUGGCUUGAGUGUGGGAGAGGGAUGCGGAAUUCCAGGUGUAGCGGUGAAAUGCGUAGAUAUCUGGAGGAACACCGGUGGCGAAGGCGGCGUUCUGGACUGCAACUGACACUGAGGAACGAAAGCCAGGGGAGCAAACGGG